GGAGUGCCCAGGAUGGAGUGCAGUGGCUAUUCACAGGUUUAAUCAUAGCUCACUACCGUCUUGAAUCCCUGGGCUCAAGUGAUCCUCCUGCCUCAGCCCCUGAGUAGCUGGUACUAAAGUUACCUUCCACGCUGUAUGUCCGUGAGAAAUACAAUGAAGACGGUCUGAAUAAUGAACUGGUAAUCUUCGAUAAUAUGAAACGAAUUUAAGAGAACAUAUCAAAGAGAAUCUCGCGUGUCAGCCCUUCAAGAAGAUUCCCAAAUCCUUGUGGAAUUCGGUAGUGGGUGUUGGAGAAUGGAAUCGACAUCUUCUUGGUAAGAACUGCC
rnacentral:lncRNA from 10 species